rnacentral:rRNA from 1 species
GACGAACGCUGGCGGCGUGCUUAACACAUGCAAGUCGAACGGUGAAGCUCCAGCUUGCUGGAGUGGAUCAGUGGCGAACGGGUGAGUAACACGUGAGCAACCUGCCCCUGACUCUGGAAUAAGCGCUGGAAACGGCGUCUAAUACUGGAUACGAGAAGGGUCCGCAUGGGCACUUUCUGGAAAGUUUUUCGGUUGGGGAUGGGCUCGCGGCCUAUCAGCUUGUUGGUGAGGUAAUGGCUCACCAAGGCGACGACGGGUAGCCGGCCUGAGAGGGCGACCGGCCACACUGGGACUGAGACACGGCCCAGACUCCUACGGGAGGCAGCAGUGGGGAAUAUUGCACAAUGGGAGAAAGCCUGAUGCAGCGACGCCGCGUGAGGGAUGACGGCCUUCGGGUUGUAAACCUCUUUCAGCAGGGAAGAAGCGAAAGUGACGGUACCUGCAGAAGAAGCACCGGCUAACUACGUG